AGCGAACGCUGGCGGCAGGCUUAACACAUGCAAGUCGAGCGCCUGUAGCAAUACAGGAGCGGCAGACGGGAGAGUAACACGUGGGAACGUACCCUUUGGUUCGGAACAACCCAGGGAAACUUGGACUAAUACCGGAUAAGCCCUAACGGGGAAAGAUUUAUCGCCAAAGGAUCGGCCCGCGUCUGAUUAGCUUGUUGGUGAGGUAACGGCUCACCAAGGCGACGAUCAGUAGCUGGUCGAGAGGAUGAUCAGCCACAUUGGGACUGAGACACGGCCCAAACUCCUACGGGAGGCAGCAGUGGGGAAUAUUGGACAAUGGGCGCAAGCCUGAUCCAGCCAUGCCGCGUGAGUGAUGAAGGCCCUAGGGUUGUAAAGCUCUUUUACCCGGGAAGAUAAUGACUGUACCGGGAGAAUAAGCCCCGGCUAACUUCGUGCCAGCCGCCGCGGUAAU
rnacentral:rRNA from 1 species